rnacentral:rRNA from 1 species
AGUGAACGCUGGCGGUAGGCCUAACACAUGCAAGUCGAACGGCAGCACAGUAAGAGCUUGCUCUUACGGGUGGCGAGUGGCGGACGGGUGAGGAAUACAUCGGAAUCUACUUUUUCGUGGGGGAUAACGUAGGGAAACUUACGCUAAUACCGCAUACGACCUACGGGUGAAAGCAGUGGAUCUUCGGACCUUGCGCGAUUGAAUGAGCCGAUGUCGGAUUAGCUAGUUGGCGGGGUAAAGGCCCACCAAGGCGACGAUCCGUAGCUGGUCUGAGAGGAUGAUCAGCCACACUGGAACUGAGACACGGUCCAGACUCCUACGGGAGGCAGCAGUGGGGAAUAUUGGACAAAGGGCGCAAGCCUGAUCCAGCCAUGCCGCGUGGGUGAAGAAGGCCUUCGGGUUGUAAAGCCCUUUUGUUGGGAAAGAAAAGCAGCAGGUUAAUACCCCGCUGUUCUGACGGUACCCAAAGAAUAAGCACCGGCUAACUUCGUG